GGGCCGCUAGCUCAAUUGGAAGAGCAGCUGACUCUUAAUCAGCGGGUUCCGGGUUCGAGUCCCGGGCGGCCCC
rnacentral:tRNA from 1 species